rnacentral:lncRNA from 1 species
AGCACUCAGCCGCUGGUGCUAGAAGUUCCUGUAGACCCUGGGGUAAUUAGCAAGGGUGCAGCUGCUUGACCCAGAGGGCUCCCCUCUGCAGACCUUAGUCCUGUGUUCCUUGUGCUUCUCUGAAGACUGGCGAGAAACCAGAGCAACUGCAGACUGCUAACACAGAGGAGGCUCUGGGUUCAGGCUGCCCCACCGGCAUCUUCCAGAGAGCGGGCUUUCACGUGCAAGAUUUGGGGAGAGGACUGGCUCCCCACCCCUAGUCUCAGUGGGCCUGGGACAGAAUGAUGGGGCAGAGAUGAAGAAGUCCUCUGGAGAUGAGGUAAGAUUUAGUGAUGUCCAGAUGCUCUUGGUUCCUAAUCAGCUGAUGAACGUGGGUCCCCGGCAGCCUAACCCCGGGCUUUCUCUCUGUGAGCAGAAUCCCGCUGCUUUCGAAGCCUCUUCUCCUUUUCUUUGUGUCUCUCAGCAGCCUUUCUCUUGCUUAAUGGUGAGGAGCUGCAGUAAGGCUUCCCAUUAACUUUUAUCCUCCCCGUAAAUGGCCUGCUUGACUCACAAUGACAAUUGUUCCGCUCUGUUCCCGGGGGUUUCUCCAUCCUCGCCAGGCUCCCAGACAGCCUGGAACUGCCGCCGUCCCAGCCCACCAACACCCUGCGCUCGCCGGCCCUGCUGUGCCCCAGAGGAGGGGAAAGCUGGCUUUUACAUUUCGUUUCCUUUUUUCUUUUGCAUGCAAGCAGAAGCCCAGGCCUCAGCUCCGAACCUCCUGGAGGAAAGGAGGCCCAGGGAGCUGUGCCGGGAAUUAAAGGGCCUGGUGCCAGGGGAAGGGCCACUGCUUGCUCGAGCCCUGGAACCGUGAGCCUGCAACAGAGCCUGGGGGUGGGGGUGGGCGUGGCCUCUUGGGCCAGGAGGGGCACUGGGGGGGCGAGCAGAGGCGGGGGGGCAAGUCCCCAGGUCCUGAGUCUGGACACGGCCAGGAGGAAGUUGGCUGGAGCAGCCUGGGAAGGCCACUGGGAGAGGGCGCUCGAGUCCCCAAGCCAAGGCUGCUUUCCAGGGGGAUGGAUGGUUAGUCUGCAGAUGAAUGGGGAAGGGGCACAUGUUCACCUUGGCGGAGCCUCCCUCCCUCUUGGCCCAGGUAACCUCAAGUGAGACUUCUGUCCCAGAGCCUGGAUUCCCGCUGCCUUCCUGCCUCUGCUCUGGCCCCCGAUCCUGGAGAGGGGCAGACCUUCUGAAAACCCCAUCUGAUUGUUGGCUUAACACCUUUCCAUGGCUUCCUCUGACUCCAAAGCCCGCCACCUCCCGUCUCCGCCCCCAGCCCUCCACUUGCAGCUGGGCUUCCUUUCCCCUCCUCAGAUGUGCCCUGACCUCCUGACCUCUUGCCUCUGGGCCUUAGCAAUGCUGUUCCCUCUGCCUGGAACACCCAUACUGUCUUCAGUAGGCAGGCUCCUGCUUAUCCUUCUGGGCUCAGCUCCAGUGCUGGUUCCUUGGACAGCUUCCCUGACCCCGUUACAGGCUCCCCAGCACUCUUGGUGUCAAGAGAUCCUGGGAGUUCCCGCUGUGGCUUGGGGCUAAGAACCCAACUAGUAUCCAUGAGGAUGCACGUUCACUGGCCUCACUCAGUGGGUUAAGGGUCUGGCUUGGAUCUGGCGUUGCUGUGGCUGUGGUGUAGGCUACAGCCCUGAUUUGACCCUAGCCGGGGAACCUCCCAUGUGCCGCAGGUGUGGCCCUAAAAAGGAAAAAAAAAAGCUAGAGGGAGAGAAAGAGAGAGAGUUUCUGGCUUGCUGCCCACCACAGCUCAGCGCCCAGCCCAGCGCCUGGCAUGCAGCUGGCCCUCAGAGCCUGGGUGCUGACUUGACUGGUCUUGGGACUGGAAGGCCCUGACUCCACAGCUGCUCUGCCAGCAUGGAAGGGUCCUGGGGGCGAGGCAGGGGGAUAGAAUUGACACACUUGCUCUGGUUCCAAAGAGAAUGGAAGGUACAAGGUCCAAAAAUAGUGAAACCCUUCCUGGAGAGUCACCAGACAGCGGACUGGGACAGGCAGGACCUCGGGUGCUCUGGGGGUUGAGGACAAAGGGACAGGUCACCAACUAUGGCUGAUUAGCCCAGGGCUGAGUCCCCUGUAAGCCCAUGACUUGGUGGCUCCUCCCCAAGUGACCUGGAAGCACCAGGGUUCCAGCAGAUGGGGGAGAAUCUUAACCUGGCUCUCCAGACUGCAGGUGCCGGCGGCAAUGCCAGGGGUUUUGAAAACUGGGUUUGAACCAGUUCCUGGCUUCCCAGGAGGAGCCAUUCUCAACCCCGGGAGAUGCCAGGAGGGGAUAUGCUCUCCCUGCAGCCUGGCCCUCAGCCCUCCCCACCCGCCUGUCCGGGAAUGCUGCUGACCUGGUGGGAGGGUGCCCUCCAAGACAUGGGCUCUCUCUGCCCCCAUCUUUCCGCUCUCUCAUCUCCCAAUCUCAAGAACAGGGAGGCAGGGCAGCACUGUGGGGACAGCUCUGGUUCCUGUGUCAGACAGGAACAGGCGAUGAGCAGGUGAGAAUCCUGGCCUAUGGGCCCGGGGCUCUGCUGCCUCGGGUAAGUUGCUUGGCCUCUCUGAGCCUCAGCUUCCUUGUGCAUAAAAAGGGUUCCUGGGAGCUCCUAUUUCAUAGGUUAUUUUGAGGCUUAAAUGAGACAAUGGGAAGAGCUUAGCACAGGGCUUUGCAGAGAGUCAGUGUCCAACACGGGACUGAAGGCCAGACCAUUUUCUUGUCAGGCCUUCGAAGAGUCAAGGGGCUUUGCGUGUUUUGAAAGUCACAACAUCACGGGUAUAUGAGGACAAGGAAGAGUCCGUGUCAGUCCCGACAGGGCACAAAACUGGCCUGCUCCCUUCCGAUAGGACCAGCUGCCUCUUUGUCCCUGGGAGCAGGCCUGAUUAUCAUAAUAACAGCUUUCCUGUUGUCCCAGAUACAGUGACAUUUAAAGACAGCAUUAACUUGUUUAAUUCCCCCAAAGAGCCCUCUGAAGUUUUGCCCAUUUGUGAUCCCCAUUUCACAGAUGGGAAAAAGGAGGCACAGAGAGAUUUGUUAGGAUCCAAGAUCACAUGGCUAGUUGGUGAUCAGAGCCAGAACUCAAACCCAACAGAAUGACUUCAGAACCUACCAUCUCUGGGGUAUUUGGCCUCAGGGUGGUCAAAAGGUAUCAUCUUGGAGUUCCAGUUGUAGCUCAGUGGUAUUGAACCCAACUAGUACCCAUGGGGAUGUGGGUUCGAUCCCUAGCCUCGCUCAGUGGGUUAAGGGUUUGGUGUUGCCGUGAGCUGUGGUGUAGGUCAAAGACGUGGCUUGGAUCUGGUGUUGCUGAGGCAUAGGCUUGCAGCUGCAGCUCCAAUUCGACCCCUAGCCGGGGAACUCCCAUAUGCC